rnacentral:rRNA from 1 species
GACGAACGCUGGCGGCGUGCUUAACACAUGCAAGUCGAACGGAAAGGCCCUGCUUGCAGGGUGCUCGAGUGGCGAACGGGUGAGUAACACGUGGGUGAUCUGCCCCUUACUUUGGGAUAAGCCUGGGAAACUGGGUCUAAUACUGGAUAGGACCAUGCUGUAGGUGGUGUGGUGGAAAGAUUAGUUUCGGUAAGGGAUGAGCUCGCGGCCUAUCAGCUUGUUGGUGGGGUAAUGGCCUACCAAGGCGUCGACGGGUAGCCGGCCUGAGAGGGUGGACGGCCACAUUGGGACUGAGAUACGGCCCAGACUCCUACGGGAGGCAGCAGUGGGGAAUAUUGCACAAUUGGCGCAAGCCUGAUGCAGCGACGCCGCGUGGGGGAUGACGGCCUUCGGGUUGUAAACUCCUUUCAGCCAUGACGAAGCCCUUGUGGUGACGGUAGUGGUAGAAGAAGCACCGGCUAACUACGUG